AUGCUCUUAUAUUUAGUUAUCGAAAUGCUCUUAUAUUUCUUUACAGAGGGAGUACCUUGUUGUUCCAACAUAAAAAAAGAUCUCACCCUCCCCUCGGCCCUGCUAACUCCACACAUUUCUAGCCUCAUUCCUCAACCUAAUUUGUUAACCACCAAACCCUGUAGUGUUGAUGCUACUACACUUACUCUUUUUUUUCGCGAUGACUACUACACUUGCUCUGCAACACCUAGGCAUAUAUUUUUUGUUCAGGAUGACGAGGUUAGGUUAUGCUACCUUGAUGAUUUAACUUGGAAAAUCUCAUGCAUUUAUUUAGGAACCAUUAAUUCACGAACAAUUCAAGAUCUGAAACUCACGUCACAACUUUAUAUAUCUGGCGGGUGA
rnacentral:rRNA from 1 species